UCCUCCCUCUGGCGGCGUGCUUAACACAUGCAAGUCGAACGGAAAGGCCCUGCUUGCCGGGUACUCGAGUGGCGAACGGGUGAGUAACACGGGGGUGAUCUGCCCUGCACUUCGGGAUAAGCCUGGGAAACUGGGUCUAAUACCGGAUAGGAGCCAUUUUUAGUGUGAUGGUUGGAAAGUUUUUUCGGUGUAGGAUGAGCUCGCGGCCUAUCAGCUUGUUGGUGGGGUAAUGGCCUACCAAGGCGGCGACGGGUAGCCGGCCUGAGAGGGUGGACGGCCACAUUGGGACUGAGAUACGGCCCAGACUCCUACGGGAGGCAGCAGUGGGGAAUAUUGCACAAUGGGCGCAAGCCUGAUGCAGCGACGCCGCGUGGGGGAUGACGGCCUUCGGGUUGUAAACUCCUUUCGCUAGGGACGAAGCUUUUUGUGACGGUACCUAGAUAAGAAGCACCGGCUAACUACGUG
rnacentral:rRNA from 1 species